rnacentral:snRNA from 1 species
AUACCUUUCUUGGCCUUUUGGCUAAGAUGAAGUGUAGUAUUUGUUCUUAUCAAUUUAAGGGGAAUUGGACAAAGCUCACCCCUU